AUACCCAAUGAUAUCUCUAGAAGACAUCUGAAAGAGAUUAAAGAUUUAUCGGUGAUGGAUGGGGAUGCGUCUGAUUAGCUUGUUGGCGGGGUAACGGCCCACCAAGGCAACGAUCAGUAGGGGUUCUGAGAGGAAGGUCCCCCACAUUGGAACUGAGACACGGUCCAAACUCCUACGGGAGGCAGCAGUGAGGAAUAUUGGUCAAUGGACGAGAGUCUGAACCAGCCAAGUAGCGUGCAGGAUGACGGCCCUAUGGGUUGUAAACUGCUUUUAUAAGGGAAUAAAGUGAGUCUCGUGAGAUUUUUUGCAUGUACCUUAUGAAUAAGGACCGGCUAAUUCCGUGCCAGCAGCCGCGGUAAUACGGAAGGUCCGGGCGUUAUCCGGAUUUAUUGGGUUUAAAGGGAGCGUAGGCCGGAGAUUAAGCGUGUUGUGAAAUGUAGAUGCUCAACAUCUGCACUGCAGCGCGAACUGGUUUCCUUGAGUACGCACAAAGUGGGCGGAAUUCGUGGUGUAGCGGUGAAAUGCUUAGAUAUCACGAAGAACUCCGAUUGCGAAGGCAGCUCACUGGAGCGCAACUGACGCUGAAGCUCGAAAGUGCGGGUAUCGAACAGGAUUAGAUACCCU
rnacentral:rRNA from 1 species